CAAAUACUCCCUCCGUCCGGAAAUACUUGUCGGAGAAAUGGAUGUAUCUAGACGUACAUCCAUUUUUAUCCAUUUCUCUGACAAGUAUUUCCGGACAGAGGGAGUAACAU
rfam:Triticum aestivum genome assembly, contig: Triticum_aestivum_CS42_TGACv1_scaffold_081540_1DS